rnacentral:rRNA from 1 species
AUGUUUAGGCUUGACCAGCAGACCGCGCACGACGUGGUCGGCGACCUGCGGGGGGACCCGGCCAUGAUCGUCCUCUUGGCCGUCGCGGUCGUCGCGUUGGCGGCCAUCGCGGCGUUCGGGUGCGCCAAGGGGGCCAAGAAGAAGCCGCGCCAGAAGAGCGUCAGCGGCAACAUCUACUACUACGGCGGCCCAGGCUGCACGGCGCCACCUCCCGCUCCGGCGAAGCCUGUGUACGCGGCCAGCGCUGGGAAGAGUGCGACGACAACAGUGUCCUCCAGCGGCACCACAACGGAUCUCGCCGCCGGCGCAACAGCUGGGAUGGUGGCGAGCAUGGUCGUCAGCUCGGCCGCCGCGUGCGGAGGCGGAGGAGGGUGCGGUGGCGGUGGCUGUGGAGGCGGAGGAGGGUGUGGUGGUGGUGGCUGCGGUGGCUGUUGA